GGCGGAGUGGCAUGGUCGCAGGUCUGAACGUCGAAGAAACUGAUGCACGGGCAUCACCAGGUGUGGAGUAC
rnacentral:rRNA from 1 species